rnacentral:tRNA from 1 species
GCAGUGGUGGUUCAGUGGUAGAAUUCUUGUCUUCAAUGCAGGUGACCUGGGUUUUAUUCCCACCCAAUGUG